rnacentral:rRNA from 1 species
UUAUGAAAAAAAAAAGAAAAUUAGUAAAGAAAUUUUAUUUUAGUAAGAAAUUGAAAAAAAAAAGAAGUUUAAACUGUAGAGGUUUAAGAAUAAAAAAAUAGAAAAAAUUAUUUUUUUACCUUUUGUAUCAGGGGUUAUUAAUUUUUUUAAAAUAUUUUAACCUCCCGAAAAUUUAUGAGCUAUGAAUUUUAAAAAAUUUUAUUUCAAAAAAAAAAGAAAAGAAUUCAUUGAAGUGAAAAGCUAUUUCGCAUAAAUUGAUAUCUGGUUUCUCUAGAAAGAAAUUAAGUUUUAUUUUGAAAAAAGAAAAAAAUUAAAUAGGAUAAGCUAUUUAUUAUCUUUUUUGAAAAUAAGAGAAAUUUCUGCGAGGAAUAAUAUUUUCCUUUUUUGUUGUAAAAGAAGAAGUUAUAUAAAGAGAUAAAAAGAAAAUAUAGAGAAUUGUUGAAAAUUUUUUUUUCAUGAAAAAUAAUGAUAAUAUUAGUAGUAAAUACCUCUAAAAGCCUAGAAAUAAAAUUGGAUAAAAGAACUCGACUUUUUCUCUUGGAAAGUUUAACAAAAACAUAUCUUUAUGGAAUUUUAUAAAGUCUGCUCUGCCCAAUGCAAAGUAAACGGCUGCAGUAUUUUUGACUGUACAAAGGUAGCAUAAUAAUUAGUCUUUUAAUUUGAGACUGGAAUGAAAGAGUAAACCAGGAGAAUUUCUUUUUAUCUAAGAAAAUGAAAUUUACUUUUUAGUAAAAAGGCUAAAAUAAGUCUUUUAGACAAGAAGACCCUAUAAAACUUUAUACUUUUCUUAAAGAAAUUAAAGAAUAAGUAUUUCACUGGGGCGGUGGGGGAAAAAUCUUCCCUUAAAAAGAGAAACUAACUAGUUUUAAUACCCAGAAAUUCUGAAAUAGAAAUAAGUUACUUUAGGGAUAACAGCUUAAUUCACUUAGAAAGACCAAAUUGACGAGUGAGUUUAUGACCUCGAUGUUGAAUUAAAAAUCCUUCUUUUGCGCAAAAGUUUAGGGAGGAGGUCUGUUCGACCUUUGAAAUUUUCCAUGAUUUGAGUUCAAAUCGGUGUAAGCCAGGUUGGUUUCUAUCUAAAGAAAAAAAGCAAGUAAGUUAGUACGAAAGGACCCCUUAUGCAGAAGUUUUCUUUUAAAAAAGAUUUUUUU